rnacentral:rRNA from 1 species
AUUACAACAGCCACCGUUUACUAGAAUAUAGUUAUCCUACUUGGAUAACUGUGGCAAUUCUAGAGCUAAUACAUGCAAAAAAGCUCCGCCCGCAAGGAACGAGCGCAUUUAUUAGAAUAAAAACCAAUCGGGUCUCGGCCCGUAAUUUGGUGAAUCUGAAUAACUUUGCCAAUCGCACAGUCCUAGUACUGGCGAUGUAUCUUUCAAGUGUCUGCCUUAUCAACUUUCGAUGGUAGGUUAUACGCCUACCAUGGUAGUAACGGGUAACGGAGAAUAAGGGUUCGACUCCGGAGAGGGAGCCUGAGAAACGGCUACCACAUCCAAGGAAGGCAGCAGGCGCGCAAAUUACCCACUUCCAGAACGGAGAGGUAGUGACGAAAAAUAACGAGACAGUCCUCUUCGAGGUCUGUCAUCGGAAUGGGUACAAUUUAAAUCCUUUAACGAGGAUCUAUUGGAGGGCAAGUCUGGUGCCAGCAGCCGCGGUAAUUCCAGCUCCAAUAGCGUAUAUUAAAGUUGUUGCGGUUAAAACGCUCGUAGUUGGAUCUGCGGCCUCGGAGAACGGUCCCCCGAAAGGGUGGUCACUGUCUCUCCUAGCCUAAAUUCGAGUCGUCUCUAGGUGCUCUUUACCGGGUGCCUAGAGUGACUAGAACGUUUACUUUGAAAAAAUUAGAGUGCUUAAAGCAGGCGAAAUAGCCUGAAUAAGGUGCAUGGAAUAAUGGAAUAGGACCUCGGUUCUAUUUUGUUGGUUUUCGGAACCCGAGGUAAUGAUUAAGAGG